UACGUAGGGUGCAAGCGUUGUCCGGAAUUAUUGGGCGUAAAGAGCUCGUAGGCGGUUUGUCGCGUCGGCUGUGAAAACCUGGGCUCAACCCCGGGCCUGCAGCCGAUACGGGCAGGCUCGAGUUCGGUAGGGGAGACUGGAAUUCCUGGUGUAGCGGUGAAAUGCGCAGAUAUCAGGAGGAACACCGGUGGCGAAGGCGGGUCUCUGGGCCGAUACUGACGCUGAGGAGCGAAAGCGUGGGGAGCGAACAGG
rnacentral:rRNA from 1 species